GGGUUGUGAGGUUAAGCGACUAAGCGUACACGGUGGAUGCCCUGGCAGUCAGAGGCGAUGAAGGGCGUGCUAAUCUGCGAUAAGCGCCGGUAAGGUGAUAUGAACCGUUAUAACCGGCGAUACCCGAAUGGGGAAACCCAGUGUGACUCGUCACACUAUCAUUAACUGAAUCCAUAGGUUAAUGAGGCGAACCGGGGGAACUGAAACAUCUAAGUACCCCGAGGAAAAGAAAUCAACCGAGAUUCCCCCAGUAGCGGCGAGCGAACGGGGAGGAGCCCAGAGCCUGAAUCAGCAUGUGUGUUAGUGGAAGCGUCUGGAAAGGCGCGCGAUACAGGGUGAUAG
rnacentral:rRNA from 1 species